rnacentral:lncRNA from 1 species
AGCGGACAACUCCAACUAGAAAAAAUGCUUCUUCUAGCAGAAAGCAAAAUAUUGAGCCAGUCACACCUGCAAAGAAAAAGUGAAGGUUAGUAAACCAUCUUGAAUACGCCUUGUAUUGAAAAAUAGGUUGACAAUAAAAGCUAAAACUGAUGAACUAUUAAAAUUCCUCCCUCUAGAAUUAAGUGGAUUAUUCUUCAUUUAUAUACCAAAAUUUAGAAGACUCUCCAACAAUUCUUUGUUUCACUAGCAAAUAGAACUACAAUCUACACAGGUACUAUGUUAGAAGUUAUUGAGUCAUUUGAUUUAUCUUGUCACAAGGAACUCUAAGCUGGCAAACCAAAAUUAGAAUUUGCCAAUAAUUAAGUCACCAAAAUCAAGUUUUCUCUUUUAUUUAUUAAUAGAUUGUUUGUGUGCGUCUGUUGACAACUUUAAGAAACUGGAAUGAAGAGCAGAAAGUUAUUAAGGCAAAAACUUACUUAUGAUAAUUUUCUAGAACCACUUGGAUGUCAAUAUUUUGCUGAAAAUAUACCUCGUUAAAGAUGAAUUUCAAACACCCUUGUUUUGUAGUUGACCCAAAUUUAAGUGGCGCAUUCAGCUUUUUUCUCCGGCAAUUGCUUUAUAUUUGAGUCAUGUCUUCAAAAUUUAGCAGGCCAGUUCCGUUAUCAACCAGCCUCAAACUUCAUACUUCUCCUUCUCAGAAGAAUAACACAACUACCAUUUGAGAAUUUAAUUUUUUUCUUAAAGUAUUACGUACACUUUUUUUGCAAUCAAUUUAGAAACUGUUUUUGCUAUAAAAGGUUGUGGUAGGUAGUCUAUGCCAUGAAGUAUGUGGCCUGCCUGUACAUAUGUUUUGUCCCUUGUGUACAUGUGUUUUAGACAAACAUUACAACUUGGGAGUCCUGUAAGUUUGCAACUGCUUGCUGAAAAAAUGCAAUAGUAGAUCUAAACUUCCUUUUUGGUUUGAAUUUACUUUUGCUCUCGGGUUUGCUCUAUUUCUUCUGUGGUUACAACAGAAAAAGCAAUACCUGGUAUUUCUUAAGGAGUAGACAAAUAGUAUCAUCGGGCUUGCAGUGGCACUUCAAAUUUGUUACUUUAUGUGAUUUCUCUUAUUCAGAUUGUGUCAGUGGAAGUAGUUGUGCAAAGUAUAGUACCUGAAGAGAAUUAUAGACAGUUACUUACAUAUGCAUGUUAUUUGUUUGAGCAACAUUCAUAGUCAAUCAUUGUGUUUGGAUACCAGAUUGGGCUUCGUUUAGUGGACGACCAGAUUUUUGGAAAUUGAAAGUAUCUUUAACAAGAAUAAGCAAACCCCAUGCCCAGACAACCUUAGGAUAAAUCCACAAAAGGGUCCUUAAAAAUAUAGAGAAUCAGAGAGAACACGUAUUGGUGAUAAAGUCCAAUAAGGUUUUCACCAUAAGAACUUGUUCAUAACUACCAGUUUGUACUAUGGGUAACAACUAAUUAGUAAUGUAUUAGCUGAACAUCGAGAGAGCGUUGUUGGAUGAAAAAAAAAUAGAGAAUGUAGUUAGCCAAUUUGUAACUGCAAAGGUUAACUAGCAGAGCAUUAACUUAGAACAUGCCUACUAAAGUCUAGAAAUAUGUUUGGAAACACGAUUAUAUACUGGUAGGGCUUAGUGACGCCCAUAUGCAUAAAUAUGACCAUUUUGCACAGUGAUAGACAUGAGCAAAUUAAUCCAAUAACCUUCAAUUCAAUUUACUUAAACUUUUUAAUACUUCCUUACAGCUUUCAUAAGAUAUAGCCAGAUAGUCUACAAUUAAGCCUGCCUCUCCUACUAAAUAGAAACCCAUAAAAAAUUCUCUUAGAACUAUUCAGUUUGCCUACAAAAUUUUAACAACCUAAGAUUGCUUGGUUUUUAUAAUUGUUCCCUCAUUCAGAAUCGAAGUGUCAAAAGUUAAUGCUUAUACCCUAUUCAAGAGAUUUUUUUUAAAACAGAAAAGAAGAUUGAUUCAAGUUCAAGUUGGCUAUAGGAUUAUAACUUUAGAUACACAUGUGCCAUUUCUGAAACCCCUUGUAAUUCAGAUUAUCCUUGAUUGUCCGCAUCAUUUGUUGUCUUUGUUGUACCAAAUUAAUCCAAUAACCUUCAAUUCAAUUUACUUAAACUUUUUAAUACUUCCUUACAGCUUUCAUAAGAUAUAGCCAGAUAGUCUACAAUUAAGCCUGCCUCUCCUACUAAAUAGAAACCCAUAAAAAAUUCUCUUAGAACUAUUCAGUUUGCCUACAGAAUUUUAACAACCUAAGAUUGCUUGGUUUUUAUAAUUGUUCCCUCAUUCAGAAUCGAAGUGUCAAAAGUUAAUGCUUAUACCCUAUUCAAGAGAUUUUUUUUAAAACAGAAAAGAAGAUUGAUUCAAGUUCAAGUUGGCUAUAGGAUUAUAACUUUAGAUACACGUGCCAUUUCUGAAACCCCUUGUAAUUCAGAUUAUCCUUGAUUGUCCGCAUCAUUUGUUGUCUUUGUUGUACCAUAUUUUCUCUUAUACCAUUUUGUUCUGCUGGUAAAAGGGAAGGAGGCUGCUCUUGUCCAAUGGACAGCCAUAUCCGGCAAGUGUGAUGGUGUACGCUUGACAAAAGAGUGGUAGUUGUAUUACCAUCAUUCUGCCAAUAAAUCCACUUACGCUAUUGCUUUAUCUUUUUUUUUUUUAUUAUUAUUAUUUUCAUUUUAUGAGUUACUCCAUUGUUUUGACCUUUGAGAUUUCAUUGCCUUGUGGUAACCUUUUAAACACCUAUUAAUCCUUUCAUUCAUUUGUUUACAUACACUGCAUACUUUCGUUUUGUGGCCUAAAGGGAAAUUGAGACCUCACUCUUUCAACCAUAAUUUUAUUCUUGCCUUUGCCUCCUAUUACACGACAAUUAAGGAUAAUUGACCCACUGCCUUUUGUAUCUUUUAUGUCUCGUCUUUCAUUUUGUACGUUCUUCUUCCAUAGUUACUCCUCAUGUGCUGAUAAAUUAUAGUGAACAUGAAGUCCAUACCUACUCAAUUAUUUUAGGCAUACAACAUAUUCGUCUCCUUAUCCUAAGUAACCAUUUCUUUUUCUCCUCCUCAAACUCACCUAAAAGCAAGCCUCAAGCCAGUAAGUAUAUUUUUGGUAUCACCCCAAGCAUAUAGUGAUGGCUCAACUUCUACAAUAUUACAACCCCUUGGUGAAAUUACAUAACAUACCUGUAUAAUAUCUAAUUCACCAUAAUGUACUUAAUUCUAUAACAAUUUUAUCUAACAAAUGAUGGGCUUGGGCCCGGGCUUAGCACGGGCCAUCUUUAACUAGUAUACACAUAAAGCAACACCAUGUUAUGUAAAGAAAAGCGACAAGGGAAAGGAAAACUAGACUCGUAGUUUGGGCCUAAAGAAUGUUAGGCCCAGCAACAACGAGUGGUAGCAACCGCUUUAGUUGACUUUGGACUAAGAAUUCUGGCCUGAGUUCUUAGAAAACUCGACAAGCCCAACUCAGAGUAAUGCAAAAAAGAAAAAGAAGGUCAUUAGAUAUACAACCCAAUUCAGCAUUUAAACACAAAUAACAUCAAUAUAAACUCAAGAAUAAAAUUGUAACAAAUUAUCAAUGGUUAGGAGGUACAAGUUAAUGUGAGGCCACAUAGAGUAAAGCAAUUUACAGCGAGACCUUUAUUUCCAUUGAACACUAAACCUAGAGAGAUUAGCAAAUGUCAAUAGAUUAAAGGCUUGAGGUAAAAUUCCAUAAAUGGUCAAGAUACCCUUUGAAUCCCUGGCACUUCAAAGUUCACAAGGGUCUGAGUACCUCAACCAAGAACUAAACUCUACUCUCAAAUACCCCUAACUACUCACACCUACUCUUCCCUACGGGUUUAAAUGCUAAUGAGGCACUCAAUAUAAAUUCCAAUACAACAGUGAUGGCAACACACAAAGAGAUCUACAUCUUUUGCAAAUGACUGUUCAGAACACUAAAACAUUAUCAAAUAGAUCAUGGUUUGCACACAAGCAUAUAACACAAUGUCAUAUACUGCAUCAGGCUUGAGAGUACUCAACAGAACUAAUUAUAGGUGCUAGCAAGCAGUGAGAGGUACCAACAGGCUAACACAAGGACACAGAAUAGGUAAGUCAGGUAGUUCAUAAGAGAUAUUGAUGUGUAUUACCUUUACUAAUAUCAGUGGAAGGUUUAUCAUUAGCUAUAAUCAUGUUCUCAAUCACAUAUACACUUAAUAGAUAUCCACACACAGACUAGCAUUCUACUUCUUACUAAUUGUAAGGUUUAACAGUCCAUUUUAGGGUUCUUAAGAGAUAGGGACAGGCAAAUACACUUACUUAACAAGUGACAGAACUCUAAAGAGAUCUUUAAUUUUACCUAGGUUCAUUAGCAGUUAAGGCAUGGUAUUAUAUUCAAAGCAGGAUAAGUAGACAUCAAGAAUUUCUUUUAAGUUCACAAGUGAAUCACAAUUAAUUUAUGCUAGCUUAGCAGGGUUCAAUUUCCUUGUGUAACCAUACAACAUGAGAGUACAAACAUAAGUAUUGAAAACAAGCAGAGGUCUAUUUCAAAACAAGGAGAAGUGCAGAACCCUUAGCGGGUAUACAGACACACACAUGAGACAAUCCUAAAGAGUGUAAGGCUACAACAUGGUAAAGUACAGAAUCAGAACAACAUGCUAAUUAAAGGGGUUCAGAACAUAGAUUGUUUCAUAUUAAGCAUGCACAGUUCUAGUAGUAGGAUUGUGAGCCCACUCAAACAGGUUCAGUAGAUUAGUUCUAACAAGAUGAAGUUCUAGUUUAACAUGAUCAAUUCAAUAGAUGAUACAUAAAUACAACAACUAAAAUUCUUUGUCAAAUUCUGUCUCUUAACCAAAUUCUUAAAAAAACAAUCUAAACAUGUUUGGUCUAAGUUAACAGCAGCAGUCAGAGUUCAUAUGAGGUUAAUUGCAGCAAUUCAUAUAACUUAGUUAGGUUAUUCAUAGGCAUACUUAUACAGUGGAGCUCAUAGGCAUGAUCAAAUAGUCAUGAAGGCUAACAGAAAUUCACUACAAUGGUCUUUCAAGAACUACAUGAUUAUAGAGAAUGCAUUAGGAAAGAGAAAAACCACCCAAACAGACUUAAGCUGAUAUAUUUCCACUGAAUGAUAGCCUUGUAGUUAACCUUAAGUGCUCAUAUCCCAUUUUAACUUAUAUUUAUCAGGUAGAGCAAUCUCAAAUGCAUGAUACAGAUUAGCAGGUAAUACCAAGGUAAAGAUCAAUAGAAUAAACAUGAGAACCAUAGCAGAACCAUCAAGAGAAUCUAAAGCUAUAACUCGUAUACAUAACCAUCAAGGCUUUUUAUCCAGCUAUAUAAGUUUUAAUUAGCACACAGAUUAACUCAACUUAAGGAUAUUCAUUAAUCUUGCAAGAACAGUCCAUUAAUGUUAACUCAGUCUCGAGACAUUAAGGGAAAUAGUUGGUUCAUAUGCAAAGCAUGAUUAUCAAACACAAGUUAAUAACAACAUAUCACAAACAUAAACAAUCAUAAGAGAAUAACAGGGUAGGCAUGAUUUUAACUAAAAUGAUUAAAAGAAAGAAAGGGAUUGAAGUACACUAACCUUCCUUUGAGCAGCAAACCAAACAAGGAUUCUUAUUAGCCGUUUAGGAAUCAAAGCUCAAAAAACUACCAACGAAUCGAACUCAGAAUCGGAAAGAGAGGAAGAUGAAGAACCCGCAAGAAUCUAGGGUCUCUGAUAGAUUUUGCAAACUCGUAUUCGAUUGUUUUUCUCAUAUUGUUAGGUGUUGUUAGGUGUGGGCAUUAAAGCUCCUAUUUAUACUGACAUUCAAUGCCUUAGGGUUUCAACAGAUUUGAAUCUAGGUAGUGGAAAUGACGAAGAUUGGAUGAUGAAAGCAAAACAGGUUAAAUCAGAGAAAAUAGAGGGAAAAAUAUCAUAGAAAUUACUUGGGCAUGAAGAAAUGAGUGAUUGACCGUUGAAGCGUGAAAACUAUCGGUGGAAGCCCUAAUGUCUAGAGGUCAUUGCAUUUGACCUCUGAACGUCGAAUAACAAUGAUGAAGCCAGAUUUAUCUUCACGCCUGCUUCGAUUUGAAAGCACAUAGCCAAAACAGAUGAAAUUCCAAGUCAUCAUUUUAGACCUAGGGUUUUUAUUUGGGAUUUUGAAUUAUAACAACGAAAGAGGAAAGAUUCAAGCGUGAAUCGCGGCUAGCAGGGACAUAGGAGAUGAUUUCGUGGUUGAUUUGUUGACCUUGUACGGAUUUGUGCAAGGUCUUGAGGAUUGAUGUGGUUGCAGGUUUAGAGAGAAUAGAGAGGAAAAAGGAAAGGGCGGCUGGGUCACGGAGGAAAUGAUUUAGGG